rnacentral:rRNA from 1 species
UUCCGGUUGAUCCUGCCRGACCCGACUGCUAUCAGAGUGAGAUUAAGCCAUGCGAGUCAACGUAGCAAUACGUGGCACACGGCUCAGUAACACGUAGUCAACAUAACCAAAGGACGUGGAUAAACUCGGGAAACUGAGGCUAAGCCGCGAUAGACCAAUAUACCUGGAAUGGUUCUUGAUUAAAAUCUAUAUGGCCUUUGGAUUGGACUGCGACUGAUCAGGCUGUUGGUGAGGUAAUGGCCCACCAAACCUGUAACCGGUACGGGCUCUGAGAGGAGGAGCCCGGAGAUGGGUACUGAGACAAGGACCCGGGCCCUAUGGGGCGCAGCAGGCGCGAAACCUCUGCAAUAGGCGAAAGCCUGACAGGGUUACUCUGAGUGACUUUCGCUAAGAAAGUCUUUUGACACCUCUAAAAAUGGUGUAGAAUAAGGGGUGGGCAAGUCUGGUGUCAGCCGCCGCGGUAAUACCAGCACCCCGAGUGGUCGGGACGAUUAUUGGGCCUAAAGCAUCCGUAGCCGGUCUUACAAGUCCUCCGUUAAAUCCAACUGCUUAACAGAUGGGCCGCGGAGGAUACUAUAAGACUAGGAGGCAGGAGAGGCAAGCGGUACUCAGUGGGUAGGGGUAAAAUCCGUUGAU